GACGAACGCUGGCGGCGUGCUUAACACAUGCAAGUCGAACGAUGAAGCUAGAGCUUGCUCUGGUGAAUUAGUGGCGAACGGGUGAGUAACACGUGAGUAACCUGCCCCGAACUCUGGGAUAACUGCUGGAAACGGUAGCUAAUACUGGAUACGACCUACGAAGGCAUCUUCUGUAGGUGGAAAGAAUUUCGGUUCGGGAUGGACUCGCGGCCUAUCAGCUUGUUGGUGAGGUAAUGGCUCACCAAGGCGACGACGGGUAGCCGGCCUGAGAGGGUGACCGGCCACACUGGGACUGAGACACGGCCCAGACUCCUGCGGGAGGCAGCAGUGGGGAAUAUUGCACAAUGGGCGCAAGCCUGAUGCAGCAACGCCGCGUGAGGGAUGACGGCCUUCGGGUUGUAAACCUCUUUUAGUAGGGAAGAAGCGAAAGUGACGGUACCUGCAGAAAAAGCACCGACUAACUACGUGCCAGCAGCCGCAGUAA
rnacentral:rRNA from 1 species